UACGUAGGGGGCAAGCGUUGUCCGGAUUUAUUGGGCGUAAAGAGCGUGUAGGCGGCUCGAUAAGUCUGCUGUGAAAGUCCAGGGCUCAACCUCGAGACGCCGAUGGAAACCGUCUGGCUAGAGUCCGGAAGAGGAGAGUGGAAUUCCUGGUGUAGCGGUGAAAUGCGCAGAUAUCAGGAAGAACACCCGUGGCUAAGGCGGCUCUCUAGUACGGUACUGACGCUGAGACGCGAAAGCGUGGGGAGCGAACAGG
rnacentral:rRNA from 1 species